rnacentral:rRNA from 1 species
CCCUUAGACGUUCUGGGCUGCACGCGCGCUACACUGACACACCCAGCGAGUCUCCUGCCCUGACAGGGUUGGGUAAUCAUUGGAGUGUGUGUCGUGAUGGGGAUAGAGUAUUGCAAUUAUUGCUCUCGAACGAGGAAUUCCUAGUAAGCACAAGUCAGCAGCUUGUGCUGAUUACGUCCCUGCCCUUUGUACACACCGCCCGUCGCUCCUACCGAGGGGGUGAUCCGGUGAAUGAUUCGGACUUUGGCGUUUCUAGCUGCUAGCAGCGCUGAAGAAAGUUUUGUGAACCUUAUCACUUGGAGGAAGGAGAAGUCGUAACA